AGGUGUGAUCAUACUAGCCUUAAUGAAACGGAUCCCAUCAGAACUCCGCAGUUAAGCGCGCUUGGGCUAGAGUAUUACUAGGAUGGGUGACCUCCUGGGAAGUCCUAGUGUUGCACCCU
rnacentral:rRNA from 1 species